rnacentral:lncRNA from 1 species
UUUUCUCUCCAUUAAAUUUGUGAAUUUACCAUCUUAUAGAAAAGGAAAAAAAAAAGGUUACUUCUCUAAACUCCUGUCUCUUGUUUCUACUAUCUACACAAAAUGAUUAAAUGCAAGGGAGCCAUGGGGUCAUAAAAGUAGUAGGCAUAUUCUAUGCCAUAUAGUAGGAAAAUAUGCUUUAUUUUAUAUAAAUGGUGCAUUGAAUCUCACAUGAGAAACUGAGAGAAAUUGAUUCUCAGAAACAUAUGUAGAUAUUUAAAGUUUAUACUCAGAGUGAAUAUUAAACAUAGGGCUUCUUAUAACCCAAGUGUAUAUAACAGCACAGGUCAUGUGUUGGAUGCUGACUAUGAAGUACGAUUACUGUCCCAUGGAAUGUAUCGUAGGUGUUAAUAUCAGCUCUUUCUAUUGGUUCACACAGACUUUUGAGUCAAGCUUUAGUUUGAAGUUGAAAUAAGAGAUACUUUUUCUCCAUUCCCAAUGUUUAUUUUUCUGUAGUAAAAAUCCUCAGGCUCAUUAUUUUGUUUGAUUUUAGUUCUACACAAUCACCAGAGAUACAUGGUUAAGAGGUUCUCCAUUGCCUGGCUAUGUCCCACACUGGCUAUAACACUCAAGAGAACGGGCCCUUCAGCUCGCCUGGGCAGCAGGAUAGAACUGGUCCUGGUAGCAGGGGUGGCUGAUGAGCCAACACUGAGGGCAUGAGAGCCAUGCAUUCCUACACUCAGGAGUCCCACAAAAAAGCAUUAAAGUGGAAGCGGUAACACAGAUGCAGGGGAGCAUGGUGCAGACCUCUGUCGGGACUGUACUGCUGCUCUGGUCUCUCUGAGCCCUUGUUAACCUGGCUCAGUUGAGUGGGCAGGUCUUGUUCUACUGCUGUUCUCUAAUCCCCUCUGGACCUCAUAAUUUUUCUGUCUCCUCUUCUGUGAAUCUCCCUUCAACUCCAAGAGGACUGAUUUGGUAGAGACACAGCAUUUAUACCUAAGUGUUACAAGGUCUCUGUAUCUCUGCAUCGUGUGUAGUUGUGGGUCUCGGUAUUGUUCCCAUCUGCUCCAAGAGGAAGCUUCUCAGAUGAUGGCACUGAUCUAUGAGUAUAGAAUACAGCGUAUGAGUAUAGUAUGAGUAUAGUAUACAUCAGUGAUCUAUGAGUAUAGAAGAAUAUCACAAGGAGUUGUUUUAUCACAACUUUGUUUUUUAAGACCUUUCUUAUUUAGCUUUAAUCUAUAUCCCUAAGCUAUCUAAACUCAAGCUUUUGGCCACCCAGGCAGUCCUAGAUAUGGUUCCAUCUUAUGGAAUACACCUUCAGUCAAAUCAACCUUUGUUUAGUUACUCUCACCACUGACUUACAUCUUACAUUCAGGAGAAUCUGUGACUGCAACAAUGAGAAAUCCUUUCCCCUACAGUGUUCUUAGUUUGCCCAUAGGUAGGUAAAACAUUUGCUUUGUGAGCCUCAUUUGCAUGAAGGAAGAUGUUGCAUUGAUAGAUGAUCUCUUGCAAGGUUCUCCUUCUUGACACACAUAAAUUUGAAUAUCUAUUUCAUUAGAUAACUAAUAAGCUGAAGUACCACAAUAGGGUGACCAGAGUUGCAUGGACUUUCUGUGCAUCCAGCAGCUUAAUAGUAUGUGAAUAGUGAACCAAUCUUGUAUAGUUAGCAGCUUUUCUGUACCUAGUUUAAUAUUAGGUCUCUUUUUCCUUGCUCCACAAAAAUCCUUAUUAUUUUCACUGGAUGAAAAAUUGUUUGCAGUUUCUCUGUUUGAAUAUGGAUAGAGUACUCAAAAGUCAUAGCAACACCAUUUGUAUUUUAUAAAAUGUGUGACAGUUUGAUGUCAGAAUAGUUUUCAUUCUUUAACUGGGAUGCUAAUAUAUUUUAUUAGAUCUGUCAAUCUACAUUUGUGCUGCUAUUCUGAAAUGGAAUUGACGAAGUAAUUUAUGUCAAGCAGAAAUGCAUUGUCUCAUUGUUCAGAAGGCUAAGGAGUCUAAGAUCAUAGGCAAGCAUUGGGGCAGAACCAUGUUGCUGCAUCAUCUCCCAGUGAGAUGGAAAGAAAAGGCAAGAUGGGGUGGGGCCAACAUUUUAUAGGGUGGGACCAACACUUUUAUGGGGUAUAUUCUCAAAAUUUUGGCAACAACCUAUUCAUGAGAAAAGGGUCCUCGCACUCUGAAUACUGUGAUAACCCUGCUGCAUUGCGAAUUACAUUUAUAAACCAUCUACUAGCAGAAACACUCAAGACAUAUCAAAUCACUUCACAUCUUUCCACACUAUCAAUGUCAUUUCUUAGUGGGAAGUUAUAUCUGUUCAACAUAUACCUCUAGAAAUAUUUUCUUUAUGUCAUGAGAACCUGUAUUCCAAGAGUCGUUGCUUGAAAGUGGCUGGACUAUCCAGUAGCUUGAACUUUUCAAUGAACUUCACUUGAACAAGGAGACAAUUGAUUUCCGAUCACCAGAAAUAACUCCAUCUUUCUAUCGGUGGUACAAAAGUCCAAUAGAAUGAACUAAGACAUAUUUAAGAGUUUGUAUUAACGCUACAGUUAAGGAAUGAAAACUAUUCUUUUUUUUUUUUUUUUUUGAGAGGUAGAGUUUUAUUACAUCUUGCAGGUUAGAGUUCAUCUUGGAGGAAAGCCAAGGCAGAGAUCGGGCCAGGAACCUGGAGGCCAAACCUGAAGCAGAAAGCAUGGAGGGAUGCUGCUUACGGGCUCGUUCUCCAUGGUUUGCUCUGCCCAUUUUCUUUCUUUUUUUUUUUAUAUUUUUUUGUUAUGUAUUUUCCUCAAUUACAUUUCCAAUGCUAUCCCAAUUGUCCCCCAUAACCUCCCCCCCCCCACUCCCCUACCCACCCAUUUACACUUUUUGGCCCUGGCGUUCCCCUGUACUGGGGCAUAUAAAGUUUGUGUGUCCAAUGGGCCUCUCUUUCCAGUGAUGGCCGACUAGGCCAUCUUUUGAUACAUAUGCAGCUAGAGUCAAGAGCUCUGAGGUACUGGUUAGAUAAUAAUGUUGUUGCACCUACAGGGUUGCAGAUCUCUUUGGCUCCUUGGAUAUUUUCUCUAGCUCCUCCAUUGGGGGCCCUGUGAUCCAUCCAAUAGCUGACUGUGAGCAUUCACUUAUGUGUUUGCUAGACCCCAGCCUAGUCUCACAAGAGACAGCUCUAUCAGGGUCCUUUCAGCAAAUGCUUGCUAGUGUAUGCAAUGGUGUCAUCAUUUGGAGGCUACUUAUGGGAUGGAUCCCUGGAUAUGGCA